rnacentral:rRNA from 1 species
AAUCAACGCUGGCGGCGUGCCUCAGACAUGCAAGUCGAACGAUUAAAGCUCUCUUCGGAGAGUGUAUAGAGUGGCGCACGGGUGAGUAACACGUAAGUAAUCUACCUUCGAGUGGGGAAUAACGUUCGGAAACGAACGCUAAUACCGCAUAAUGCAGCGGCAUCGCAAGAUGACAGUUGUUAAAGGAAUUUAUUUCGCUUGAAGAGGAGCUUGCGGCAGAUUAGCUAGUUGGUAAGGUAACGGCUUACCAAGGCUACGAUCUGUAUCCGGUCUAAGAGGACGGUCGGACACACUGACACUGAAUAACGGGUCAGACUCCUACGGGAGGCAGCAGUCGGGAAUUUUGGGCAAUGGGCGAAAGCCUGACCCAGCAACGCCGCGUGAAGGAUGAAGUAUUUCGGUAUGUAAACUUCGAAAGAAUGGGAAGAAUAAAUGACGGUACCAUUUAUAAGCUCCGGCUAACUACGUGCCAGCAGCCGCCGUAAAAC